CUUUAAAUUAUUUCAUUCCUCCCUCCCUCCUGAGCUCUCAGUGCAAUGACCCUAAAGUCAAUUUUUACCAACAGCCCGUUUAAGAAAACUUGAGCUUUUCUAUCAUUUCCUUCCAUUCCUUUCCAGCCUUUGUCUAGUUCUCAGUGCAAAGCUGCUUCCACAUCUAGGUGUGUUUUACAGAGUACCCCACUUCUGAUACUGAAAUCUGCGUUCUUUCUUUUUUAUUUCUGUGGGAUAUUAAUACAGGUGUCGCAUUUCUGUCCCACAUUCAUCCAGGAGUCCUGGCGAUGGCAGAAAGGUUCUCAGUUCCAGCAGUUGGCUUCUUUGUCUGCACAAGCGGAAGGGCAGUGGCAGCAUCGACAGCGGGGUGCUCAGGACCACAGGAGACUGCGUCUGCUCCACAGGACUCUAAGGAGGGAAACCCACACUCUACACUCACGGCAUCCAGCACAGUGCCCCUCUCAAGGCUGGCUCCUGGUAAGCAGAGCUGCCAUCACCUUAGAAAUGGCUCUUUGCAUGGCCUCUGCGUGUGGCUCUGUGCACGGCCUCUGCGUGUGGCUCUUUGCACGGCCUCUGUGUGUGGCUCUGUUCACGGCCUCUGGGCGUGGCUCUGUGCACGGCCUCUGCGUGUGGCUCUGAGCACGGCCUCUGCAUGUGGCUCUUUGCACGGCCUCUGCAUGUGGCUCUGUGCACGGCCUCUGCGUGUGGCUCUUUGCACGGCCUCUGUGUGUGGCUCUGUGCACGGCCUCUGGGCGUGGCUCUGUGCACGGCCUCUGCGUGUGGCUCUGUGCACGGCCUCUGCAUGUGGCUCUUUGCACGGCCUCUGCGUGUGGCUCUGUGCACGGCCUCUGCGUGUGGCUCUUUGCACGGCCUCUGUGUGUGGCUCUGUGCACGGCCUCUGGGCGUGGCUCUGUGCACGGCCUCUGCGUGUGGCUCUGAGCACGGCCUCUGCAUGUGGCUCUUUGCACGGCCUCUGCAUGUGGCUCUGUGCACGGCCUCUGCGUGUGGCUCUGUGCACGGCCUCUGUGUGUCUGCAUCCAGCCCGACUGUCACCACCGCUGAAGUUCCCCUAUCCACCCACCUGACACUCUGGCUACCCUGGCUUUCUUGUCCGUUGAACAUUCCCAGCUUGGUCCCAUCUCAGGAACUUCCCUGGAGCGCUUGCCCCAUGUCCUCUCAGCUGCCGUUUCACAGAACCUGGACUCAGCUCCCCACUGGCUCUGAGAGCCGGCUCCCCUGAGGACUCCGCCUAACGUGGCUCUCCCUCAAUCCUGCUGCCUUACAGCUCUUCUCACCAGCCAGGGACUUGGACUUAAUUCUUAAAUACCUUAAAGUGGAAGCCCUACGGAGCAUUGGUUUUCAUUUGUCAUGUGUCCCUACCAAGCGAAACUGAUUGUCAUUCUUUGUAAGGCUACUUUGCUACUUGCAGGAGAAAAUUCCUCCAAAGAGCCAGAAGUGUUCCUGAUAUUUACAAG
rnacentral:lncRNA from 13 species